UACAGAGGGGGCAAGCGUUGUUCGGAAUUACUGGGCGUAAAGGGCGCGUAGGCGGCCUGUUAAGUCGAACGUGAAAUCCCCGGGCUCAACCCGGGAACUGCGUCCGAUACUGGCAGGCUUGAAUCCGGGAGAGGGAUGCGGAAUUCCAGGUGUAGCGGUGAAAUGCGUAGAUAUCUGGAGGAGCACCGGUGGCGAAGGCGGCAUCCUGAACAGGCAUUGAGGCUGAGGGGCGAAAGCCAGGGAGCAAACGGG
rnacentral:rRNA from 1 species